GCCUCGCCGGUGUAGUGGUAGUAACACGUGUCCUCGGUAUGGAUGAAAAGCGGGUUCGAUUUCCGCCUGAGGCC